AGUCUUUAGAAGACAAUUUAGAAUACGAAUAUCACUUUAUACUUAAAUGUCUAUUUUAUUUAGAAGAAAGAUCCAAAUACAUAUCUAAACACUAUUCAAUAAGACCAAGAAACUCUCAUUUAGUUAUAACAAAGGUAUCCAAACAAAUAAUUGCAUUUUUCUUUAACUCAACUUCUAUUAUUGUAAUUAAUUUACCGUUCAAUAUUAAAAGAAUGUUCUGUGUCUUUGUCUGUUAACGCUGAUUUCUGUUAACAUGUACAGUUUAUUAUGAAAUUAAUGUGAUUUAUUUGCCUAUUUACACUGUUUUUUUAGCUCACCUGAGCUUAACGUGCUCAUGGUGAGCUUUUGCGUUCACCUUUUGUCCGUUGUGCGUUGCUUGGCGUCAACAUUUGCCUUGUUAACUCUCUAGAGGGCACAUUUAUUGUCCAAUCUUCAUGAAAUUUUGUCAGAAGAUUGGUCUCAAUGAUAUCUUGAAUGGAAACGUUUGCUUGAAAAACAUGGCUGCCAAGGGGCGGAGCAUUUUUCCUUAUAUGGCUAUAUAUGGCUAUAGUAAAAUCUUGUUAACACUCUAGAGGCCACAUUUAUUGUCUGAUUUUCAUGAAACUGGUCAGAAGAUUCAUCCCAAUAAUAUCUUGGAUGAGUUUGAAAAUGAUGCUGGUUGGUUUAAAAACAUGGCCGCCAGGGGGCGGGGCAUUUUUCCUUAUAUGGCUUUAGUAAAACCUUGUUAACACUCUAGAGGCCACAUUUAUUUUCCGAUCUUCAUGAAACUUGCUCAGAAGAUUUGCCCCAAUGAUAUCUUAGAUGAGUUCAGAAAUGGUAACCUUUGCUUGAAAAACAUGGUUGCCAAGGGGCGGGGCAUUUUUCCUUAUAUGGCUUUAGUAAAACCUUGUUAACACUCUAGAGGCCACAUUUAUUGUCCAAUCUUCAUGAAACUUGAUCAGAAGAUUCAUCCCAAUAAUAUCUUGGAUGAUUUCAAAAAUGAUGCCGGUUGGUUGAAAAACAUGGCCACCACGGGGGUGGGGCAUUUUUCCUUAUAUGGCUAUAGUAAAACCUUGUAAACACUCUAGAGGUCACAUUUAUUUUCCGAUCAUCAUGAAACUUGGUCUGAAGAUUUGUCCUAAUGAUAUCUUGGAUGAGUUCGAAAAUGGUUUUGGUUGCUUUAAAAACAUGGCCACCAGGGGGCGGGGCAUUUUUCCUUAUAUGGCUAUAUAUGGCUAUAGUAAAACCUUGUUAACACUCUAGAAGCCACAUUUAUUGUCCAGUCUUCAUGAAAUUUGGUCAGAAGAUUGGUCUCAAUGAUAUCUUGGAUUAGUUUAAAAAUAAUUAUGUUUGCUUGAAAAACAUGGCUUCCAAGGGGCGGGGCAUUUUUCCUUAUGUGGCUUUAGUAAAACCUUGUUAACACUCUAGAGGGCACACAUACUGUCCGAUCUUCAUGAAACUUGUUCGGAAGAUUCAUCCCGAUAAUAUCUUGGACGAGUUCAAAAAUGAUGCCGGUUGGUUGAAAAACAUGGCUGCCAGGGGGCGGGGCAUUUUUCCUUAUAUGGCUAUAGUAAAACCUGUUAACACUCUAGAGGCCACAUUUAUUUUCCAAUCUUCAUGAAACUUGGUCAGAAGAUUUGUCCCAAUAAUAUCUUGAUAUCUCAGGUGAGCGACGUUGGGCCUUUCAGGCCCUCUUGUUGUUAAUACUUAGUGUAAAUACUAAAUUCAGUGUGUAUUUAAACACACAACACUCUCACACAUAAUUUCUUAUUGUCCCCUACCGGUUUCACCGGAGGGGACUUAUGGUUUGCGCUCCGUCUGUCAGUCAGUCUGUCAGUCAGUCAGUCUGUCAGUCAGUCAUUCAGUCUGUCAGUCAGUCACACUUUUCUGGAUCCUGCGACAACUUUAAAAGUUCUUAAUAUUUUUUCAUGAAACUUGAAACAUGGAUAGAUGGCAAUAUGGACAUUAUGCACGUCAUUUCAUUUUGUUACUACGUCAAAAAUUCUGGUUGCUAUAGCAACAAAUAGACUAGAAAUACUGCUGAAAAUGGUGGUUUUCUGGAUCCUGCGAUAACUUUUAACGUUCUUAAUAUUUUUUCAUGAAACUUAAAACAUGGAUAGAUGGCAAUAUGGACAUUAUGCAUAAUCAGUUCAUUUUGUUUCUAUGUCAAAAAUUCUGGUUGCUAUGGCAACAACAACAAUUCUGACAACGGUGGAAUUUCUGACAAUGGUGGAGCCGGUAGGGGACUAUAUUGCUUGGCAAUAGUCUUGUUAUCUUUAAUACUUUUUUGUUCACGCAUGUAUGAAUUGUAAAAUGCUUAAGUGAAAAAAAUAUUUGUUCUAUUCUGUUCUAAAAAAUACAAUCCAUUUUUAGCUCACCUGACAUGAGCACAACGUGCUCAAGGUGAGCUUUUGUGAUCGCCUUUCGUCCAUUGUGCGUCGUCCAUCGUGUGGCGUCAACAUUUGUCUUGUUAACACUCUUGAGGCCACAUUUAUUGUCCAAUCUUAAUGAAAUUUGGUCAGAAGAUUGGUCUCAAUGAUAUCUUGGAUGAGUUCGAAAAUGGUUAUGUUUGCUUGAAAAACAUGGCUGCCAAGGGGAGGGGCAUUUUUGCUUAUAUGGCUGUAUAUGGUUAUAGUAAAAUCUUGUUAACACUCUAGAGGCCACAUUUAUUGUCCGAUCUUCAUGAAACCUGGUCAGAAGAUUCAUCCCAAUAAGAUCUUGGACGAGUUAAAAAAUGAUGCCGGUUGGUUGAAAAACAUGGCCGCCAGGGGUCGGGGCAUUUUUCAUUAAAUGGCUAUAGUAAAACCUUGUUAACACUCUAGAGGCCACAUUUAUUUUCCAAUCUUCAUGAAACUUGGUCAGAAUACUUUUUCCAAUGAUAUCUUGGAUGAGUUUGAAAAUGAUUUAUAGUAAAAUCAUGUUAACACUCUAGAGGCCUCAUUUAUUGUCGGAUCAUGAUGAAACUUGGUCAGAAGAUUCAUCCCAAUAAUAUCUUGGAUGAGUUCAAAAAUGAUGCUGGUUGGUUGAAAAACAUGGCCACCAGGGGGCGGGGCAUUUUUCCUUAUAUAGCUUUAGUAAAACCUUGUUAACACUAGAGGCCACAUUUAUUUUCCGAUCUUCAUGAAACUUGGUCAAAAGAUUUGUCCCAAUGAUAUCUUGGAUGAGUUCAAAACUGGUUUCGGUUGCUUUAAAAACAUGGCCACCAGGGGGCGGGCAUUUUUCCAAAUAUGGAUAUACCUACAUGUAUGUAUAUUGCUUUAGUUAAACCUUAUUAACACUCUUGAGGCCACAUUUAUUGUCCAAUCAUCAUGAAACUUGGCCAGACAAUUUGUCCUGAUGAUAUCUUGGACGAGUUCGAAAAUGGUUCCGGUUGGUGGAAAUAAAUGGUCGUGGCAUUUUUAGCUCGACUAUUAUAUAUGAAAUAUAUAUAGUGGAGCUAUCCUACUCACCCCGGCGUCGGCGUUUCUGUUUCCGUUAGCGUGCAAAUGUUAAAGUUUUCGUACUACCCCAAUUAUUUUCAUUGUCCCUUGACAUAUUGCUUUCAUAUUUUGUAUACUUGUUUACAAACAUGACCCCAACCUCUAAACAAGUGCAGACAACUCUAUCAAGCAUUUUGUCAUAAUUAUGGCCCCUUUUUCACUUAGAAUAUGCAGCAAAUGUUAAAGUUUUCGUACUACCUCAUUUAUUUUCAUUGUCCCUUGACAUAUUGCUUUCAUAUUUUGCAUACUUGUUUACCAACAUCACCCCAACCUAUAAACAAGAGCAGACAACGCUAUCAAGCAUUUUGGUAUAAUUAUUGCCCCUUUUAUGCUUAGAAUAUGCAUAUUAUUGAUAAAUCUAUGUUAAAGUUUGCGUACUACCCCAAAUAUUUCCUAUAUCCUUUGACAUAUUGCUUUUAUAUGUUGCAUACUUGUUUACCAACAUGACCCCAACCUAUAGACAAGAGCAGACCACUGUAUCAAGCAUUUUUACAUAAUUAUGGCCCCUUUUACACUUAGAAAAUUGAACAUUUUGCUUAAAUUGCCAUAACUUCUUUAUUUAUGAUCGCAUUUUAUUAUUACUUUGACAAAACAACACUUACCUGAAUACUACAAUGGAUUCCACCCAAACAAUACCCCAAGCCCCUAUCUUGAAUCCCCCCCAACCUCCCCCCCCUCAAUUUUUUUUUAAACAUCAUCUAAUAAAUUACCACACCCCACAUUAUACCCCCUCUCACUACCCCAACCCCCCCUUUUUUUUCAUUUAUUUAUUUUUGAAAGAUUGUCUAAUAAAUGACCACGCCCCACAUUAUACCCCCUCUCAAUCCCCCCCUACCCCCAUCCCCCCCCCAAAUUUUUUUUUUUUCCUUUUUUUAUUUUUGAAAGAUCAACUAAUAAAUUAUUGAAUAUGAACAAUAUUCCCAUGAUGGCUUAUGUUACACUGUCAAGCACUCGAAUAGUCGAACGCGCUGUCCUCUGACAGCUCUUGUUCCUUAUAUAGCUAUAGUAAAAACUUGUUAACACUCUAGAAGCCACAUUUAUUGUCCGAUCAUCAUGAAACUUGGUCAGAAGAUUUGUCCCAAUGAUAUCUCUUACAAGUUCGAAAAUGGUUCCAGUUGCUUAAAAAACAUGGCCACCAGGGGGCGGGGCAUUUUUCCUUAUAUGGCUUCAUGAAUCUUCAUGAAACUUUUUCAGAUUAUUUGUUUAAAUGAUAUCUUGGAUGUGUAUGAAAAUGGUUCUGGUCUGUUGGAAAACGUGGCUGCCAGGGUGUUCACAAGUCAUGAAAGUUGGUUAGAAUAUUUUUUCUAAUGACAUCUUGGGCUGCACAGAACAGAUCAGUUCCUUUGAAUCUCUGGUGAGCGACUUUUGGCCUUUUAGGCCCUAUUGUUAGUUGUAUUUUCCAUUUUGCAACUUGUUGAUUUUAUCAGGAGCUCAUUUACCUGAAUGAUUUCACAUGUGAACAGUGAAGUGUAUAUAUUGUAUAAUGUAAAUUGUUUGUUUCAGAUGUUUUUAUGUCCCCCACCACUAUAGUGGGGGACAUUUUGUAUUUGCCCUGUCUGUUGGUGUGUUGCUUUGUUUGUUUGUUUGCACCAACUUUAAAAGGACUGUCAACCACGAAUGACGAAAAAAGAAAAGUUCUAAAAUACUGUAUUUUUUUACAAUUAUUAGUUUAUAUUGAUUAAAGUAUCACGACUGGUAUAUUACAUUACUUGAAAACAGUUAGUAUUUUCAGUAUAUUCGGUAAUAAAAUUUUGCGAUGUGAAAUCGAAAAUACAUCGCGAAAAUAGAUGACAUAACAAUAUACACACUUUAAAUAACGCAAGUAGAUUGAUCAUUUUAUAUAUAAAAUAUAAAAAAUUCACUACGCAUGCACAAUUUGCAUUCCAGUGUUUACCACGUGACGAUGAUGAUCAAUCUACUUGCGUUAUUUAUAGUUAACUGGUAGUUACCUGGUAGACAUACCCAGUUAAAUUUAUUACCGAAUAUACUGAAAAUAUGAAAACUUUUUUCAAGUAAUGUUAGUUAUACAUUUAUACCAGUCGUGAUAUUUUAAUCAAUAUAAACUAAUAAUUGUAAAAAAUGAAGGUAUUAUAUAACUUUUCUUUUUUCGUCAUUCGUGGUUGACAGUCCCUUUAACAUUUGCCAUAACUUUUGCCAUAUUUAAAAAAGCAACUCUGUUUUUGGCAUGCAUGUGUAUCUCAUGGAUCUGCACAUCGUCUGUGGUCAGUGUUGUAACUUAUCAAAUUACAAAAUAUAAAAAUCAGUUAAUGUGUAUAAAUCAGUCUUUGGGAAGAUUAGCUUACUUAUAAGUUGUGAAGUCUUUAAUCUUGUGUAACAUAGCAAACAGGGACAUUACCGUAUAUUAACUCUUUGGUGUUAAUUUUUGUGAUUUUCUUUGAAAUUAUUGAACUUCUCUAUUUACUUAAACAGUGAUUCACAAGAAAAUUAAAACAUAAGGUCAACUUUUUCAGUAUUUUUGCAUUCUGUUCUAACUUUUUAACAUUGAUCUGCAUUUAUUUUCUGUUUGUGGUGCUGUAUUUUUAUUUUGAUAAAUAAGAAUUUUUGAAAUUUAUACUAUUUUAGUUAUUUUUGUCCAGCCCACUUGCAGAAAGCUCCAUAUUAUAGCCGACAUACUGUUUAAGUAUAUUAUAAGUGUAAGAGUUUCCCAACUUGUCUGGACUGGAACUUUGUCAUUCAUUGUGCAAUUGUAUAAUCAAUUAUUCGCAAUGGUCAGCAAAGUGAAACAACAAGUCACAUGUAACACCCAGCUCCAUACAUAAAGAGGUUAAUGGUCAAAUUCAGCCAUGAAACAGCUUUCCCGGACUGUAACAUUGUGAACCAUCAUGCAAUUUUAAAAGCAUCUCAAGACUGUAACAUUAUGAUCCAUCAUGCAAUUUUAAAUGCUUCCCCGGACUGUAACAUUGUGUGAUCCAUCAAGAAUGCAAUUUUAAAAGUUUCCCCAGACUGUAACAUUGUUAUUCAUCAUGCAAUUUUAAAUGCUUCCCCAGACUGUAACAUUGUGAUCCAUCAUGCAAUUUUAAAUGCUUCCCCAGACUGUAACAUUGUGAUCCAUCAAGAAUGCAAUUUUAAAAGUUUCCCAGACUAACAUUGUGAUCCAUCAUGCAAUUUUAAAUGCUGCCCUGGACUGUAACAUUGUUAUUCAUCAUGCAAUUUUAAAAGCUUCUCUUGACUGUAACAUUGUGAUCCAUCAUUCAAUUUUAAAAGCUUCCCCUGACUGUAACAUUGUGAUCCAUCAUGCAAUUUUAAAAGCUUCCACUGGCUGUAACAUUGGGAUCCUUCAUAAAAUUGUAAAAGCUUCCCCUGACUGUAACCAUGUGAUCCAUCAUGCAAUUUUAAAAGCAUCCCCAGACUGUAACCUUGUAAUCCACCAUGCAAUUUUAAAUUCUUCCCUGGACUGUAACAUUUUGAUCAAUCAUACAAUUAUAUUAUAAGAUCCCCUGGACUGUACUAUUGUGAUUCAUCAUGCAAUUUUAAGAUUCCCUGGAGUGUAAUAUUGGAGUCCAUCAUGCAAUUUUUAUGCCCCCGUUCGAAGAAGAGGGGGUAUAUUGCUUUGCUCAUGUCGGUAGGUCAGUACGUCCGUCCACCAGAUGGUUGUCAGACGAUAACUCAAGAACGCUUGGGCCUAGGAUCAUGAAACUUCAUAGGUACAUUGAUCAUGACUCGCAGAUGACCCCUAUUGAUUUUGAGGUCACUAGGUCAAAGGUCAAGGUCACGGUGACCCAAAAUAGUAAAAUGAUUUUCGCAUGAUAAUUCAAGAACGCAUAUGCCUAGGAUCAUGAAACUAUAGGUAGAUUGAUCAUGAAUCGCAGAUGACCCCUAUUGAUUUUCAGGUCACUAGGUCAAAGGUCAAGGUCACGGUGACCCGAAAUAGUAAAAUGAUUUUCGGAUGAUAACUCAAGAACGCAUAUGCCUAGGAUCAUGAAACUUCAUGGGUAGAUUGAUCAUGACUCGCAGAUGACCCCUAUUGAUUUUGAGGUCACAAGGUCAAAGGUCAAGGUCACGGUGACCCGAAAUAGUAAAAUGAUUUUUGGAUGAUAACUCAAGAACGCUUUUGCCUAGGAUCAUGACACUUCAUAGGUACAUUGAUCAUGACUUGCAGAUGACCCCUAUUGAUUUUCAGGUCACUAGGUCAAAGGUCAAGGUCAGUGACAAAAGUCGUAUUCACACAAUGGCUGCCAGUACAACGGACAGCCCAUAUGGGGGGCAUGCAUGUUUUACAAACAGCCCUUGUUAAAGCUUCCUCUGACUGUAACAAUGUGAUCCAUUAUGCAAUUUUAAAAGCAUCCCUGGACAGUAACACUGUGAUCCAUCAUGCAAUUUUAAAAUCUUUAUCGGACUCAAACAUUGUGAUCCAUCAUGCAAUUUUAAAAGCUUCAUUGGACUCAAACAUUGUGAUCCAUCAUGCAAUUUUAAAAGCUUCUCUGGACUGUAACAUUGUGAUUCAUCAUUCAAUUUGAAAAGCUUCCACAAACUGUUACAUUUUGAUCCAUCAUGCAAUUUUAAAAGCUUUCCCCGACUGUAACAUUGUUAUCCAUGAUGCCGUAUUAGAAGCCUUAACUGGACUGUAAUUGUGAUCAAUCAUGCAACGCGACCAGACUGUAACUUCAUUAUUGAUCGUGCAAUUUUUUAGUAAUUUACCAAAAAUGUUCACCAUGUUGAGAUUGCAUGUCAUGUGUGAAGCCGUCUCUGUACCUCAAAAUUCAAGGUCACACAUAAAGGUCAAAGGUUGAAUCUGCCAUAUAACAGCUUUGCCAGACUGAAACUUCAUCGUUCAUAACGCAAUUUGAAAAUAAUUUACCUAAUAUAUUCACCAUGUAAAGAUGUCACAUCUUUGGGAAAGGUCAAGAUCAAACUAAUGGCUAAAGAUAAAGCAUGUGUAUGGUUUAGCUUGUUAAAUAAUCAAAAGCAUUUGGCCCUUGCUCUGUGAAAAGGGGGUUUAAUGCCUGUGCGUAAAUUGUCGUUUCAGAUAAGCCUGUGCAGUCUGCACAGGCUUAUCAGGGACAACACAUUAUGCUUUUAUGAAAUUUUGGUUGAAAGAAUCUUCUUAGCAAUAAAUCCAGUUUAGACGAAAAAUGUCCCUGAUUAGCCUGUGUGGACUCCACAGGCUAAUCUGGGACAUUUUACUCACAUGCAUUACUUUUCACAGAGCACGGCCCAUUUUACCAUGGGCUUGACAGGCAUCUAGAUAGUUCUCAUUUUGAAAUGGGUGUUUUUCAAUCACUAUUAACUAUGCAUCGCUCUCAUCACUUAGGCCCUACCUGUACACAGUCAUGUGUUUGUAGUAAACCUGUUCACAAAACUCAGUACAUGUAAGUCUUUCUUGUUAACGUAAUCAACUAUUGGGAAUUGUGGGAGUAACAUUAUUUCAAAGUUUUUGUUGGUAAAAAAAGGAUGUAUUUAAUAAAUUAUAUCUGGCUAAGUGUUUGUUUCUGCGGUAAGACCUGUUCAUUUGGAGUUCUGAUCAUAUGGAAUCUAAGCAUAAGGGUAGUAUCCUGAGUUGUUGAAAACAUUAAUCGGGAAGACAAACCAUAAUUACAGUAAAUUAUUGUAUUCUUUCACCAAUAAAUUAAUUUAUUUGUGAACAAUUAUGGUAGUAGUUAAGAGUGAUUGACCAGUUAUGCAUUGUACCUUGGUACCAUAUCGAUUUAAUUUAUUGCAAAUCCUUGAAGGUGGAUCAAUCUCCACUGAAAAGCAGAUCCAUCUCUCUAGAAAGGCGGAUAAAUAUCUCAAAAAGGCAAAGCCAUGUCUCUUUGAACUGGCCAUUCAAACUGCUGUGUUUAGAUAUUUUCAGUUUUAUUGCCACUGAAUAAUAUUGCUGGUUUUAAGUUUUCACUGAUUGAAGAAAACAUUGCCUUGUGUGUAAAUUGCACAGCUAUUUACACUACACACAUUUCAUUUUGUAUCCACAGUGCUAAGCAUUUAAAUGUUAUUUUGGGGCAAAAUAAAUGAAAUCUUGUGGACGA